rnacentral:lncRNA from 7 species
UGCAGGAGAAGACCAUUUGCAGCUACCACGACUCAGCUGACACAGCAUUAAUUCUGAAUGGUGUGAUGUGAUGACGAUUCUGAGCCAUGAGUAUUUGAUGCAAGCAUAUAAGAUGUUAAAUAAAUCCCAUUCAAAUUUCCACUAGAUGCAGCAGUGCCUGCACUUGUAAGAAGUACAGUUCCUCCUUGUAUUACCAGUGUGGAGGAUUAGAGUUGCUGGUUGCUUUAGCUUGGAAUUUGAAAGAGAAUUGCAUGAAAAUAGAUAAAUUUUAUUUCCCAAGAAAAAAGAUUCCUUCCUGAACUUUCAUCUGAUGGCAUAGCCUGGAGCAAUUCUGCUUUUUCCAACAAGUCCUUUGAACAACUUUACUGGUUUGUGGCUUGUGGAAGCAAGCUGCAUCUUUUAAACAACCUUGGAGUCCUCAUCUAUUGUGAAAGCCUCCUCAGAGAGCAGCCUUCAAACACGUAAGUGAUGUCUGAGAAGCAUUGCCAAGUGGUCAUUAUGGAGGAUAAAGACUCUUCUGCAGGCCUGAAGUGAUGUAGAAGGUCUGACAGAAAGCACAUGAAGCUGAGUGCUGCCAGUGUAUGACUGCAGAGUCCAGGCUGCACUGCCCUGUGAGGCAACUGAACCCAGUUACGUGCAUGGGCAUGGCUAUGGUAUUAGCACAUACGUUACCUAACAGCAUCACAGUAAUCUCCAUGUUGAUGCUAAAAGAAAUCAUAUAUGCUUCCAGUGAGUUUAAUGAGGAAAUAACACAUGGUUGUAGGAAAAUAUCCUGAGAAGGACAUGGGGUGCUUCUGGUGAUUUCUGAGCUUCAGAGAAGGAAAAAAAGGAGACUGCAGAGCCAAGCUCAAAGGAUACUUCCCUGUGAAGCCAGGGUAGCAGCAGUGGAAAACAGAACUUGGUUGUGAUGUGUUUUAAUACCUAACCUCAAGUUUGACUGUGAUUCCAGCUAGCUUGACCUAUCUUUGUUCCAGCCUGGCUCUAAUCCAUAAACCCUAGGGAUGCUUUAAGGUCUCUGUGCUGCAGUCACCACGGCGUGUUGCAUGUCCCACAGAAAUUUCCUCAUCCAAGUGAAAGAAGUAAGAAACAGAACCUUGCUCUACCCCUCCCUUACCUGGCACUGUGAGUAGAAAAUCACAGCCCGCAGCUUGGUGGUUUGGUAAAACACAAUUUUACUUAAUAAAGAAGCUCGGACACUUCCCCUUUAAUGGACACUCUCCCUUUAAGACCCUAUCUGCCAAGGGAAGAACAAACAUAUUGCUAGGAGAAACAGCAGACGCUGAAACCCUGCGAUCUGAAACCUGACCCUGAUUCAACAGCCAGGAAAUCCUGGGAAACCUCCAGAGGCAGCAUAAAAUCCCUCGCCCAGAGUGGAGGAGAAUGCAACAGUCAACAUUUUUAUGCAGACUCAGAAGGGAUCAGCCAUUUACAGAGAACAAUCAGAGCAUGUGCUAUGGCAGGAGUCAGGAUCAUAAUUACUAGGGCACCCCAUUUUUCUGCUCCGAGGCAUAAGCU